GGAACAACAGGCUGCAGUUGCUCCUGAAGAAAUACAAAGAUGGAAACAGAAAGGGGCAGUUCUGAAGGAUGGAGUGUACUCCAACAACCUCAAGUUCUGCCUCCCUAAGAAUUUGUACCCUGCAGUCGUACAAUGGGCACACGGACCUGCACAUUUAUCAAAGGAUCUAAUGAAUGCUCUUGUACCGAAAUACUACGAAGCAC